GCGUGCGGGAAGAAGGCCUUCGGUUGUAAACCGCUUUCAGGAGGGACGAAGCUACUCGGGUGAAUAGCCCAGAGGGUGACGGUACCUCCAGAAGAAGCCCCGGCUAACUACGUGCCAGCAGCCGCGGUAAUACGUAGGGGGCAAGCGUUGUCCGGAUUUAUUGGGCGUAAAGAGCGUGUAGGCGGCCAGGCAGGUCCGUUGUGAAAACUCGAGGCUCAACCUCGAGACGUCGAUGGAAACCGUCUGGCUAGAGUCCGGAAGAGGAGAGUGGAAUUCCUGGUGUAGCGGUGAAAUGCGCAGAUAUCAGGAAGAACACCUAUGGCGAAGGCAGCUCUCUGGGACGGUACUGACGCUGAGACGCGAGAGCGUGGGGAGCGAACAGGAUUAGAUACCCUGGUAGUCCACGCCGUAAACGAUGGGCGCUAGGUGUGGGGGGUGUCGACUCCCUCCGUGCCGAAGCUAACGCAUUAAGCGCCCCGCCUGGGGAGUACGGCCGCAAGGCUA
rnacentral:rRNA from 1 species